rnacentral:lncRNA from 10 species
GAACAAACUUCAGAUGGGAGGAAUGAACAACUCCAGAUGUGCCACUUUAAGAGCUGUAACACACCGCUAAGGUGUGCAGCUUCACUCUUGAAGCCAGUGAGAUCAAGAACCCACCAGAAGAAAGAAACUCCAAACACACAUCCAAACAUCAGAAGGAACAAACUCUGGACACACCAUCUUUAAGAACUGUAACACUCACCGAGAGGGUCCGUGGCUUCAUUCUUAAAGUCAGCGAGACCAAGAACCCACCAAUUUCGGACACAACUUCUCCUUGAGCUAGGUGGACAUAGUGACUCAUUUGUAAGAAAUAAAAUAUAGCAAAAUAAUGAGCUGUCACUUCUCAGACUCUAAUUUCCAUCCUUCUUCCCUCUUCCAUUUCCUCCCUGGCUCUGAGCAAAGCCAGCUGCUAGGCUGUGAGCUUUCCUAUGGAGAAGUACAUGUGACAAAGAACUGAGGGAAGGCUUCAAUGCAAUAGCCAGCAAAGAAAUGAAUUAUGUCAACAACAACAUGAACGAGCUUGGAACAAGAACCUGUCUCCAUUGAACCUUCAAAUGAGAGUGCAGCCCUGGCUGCCAUUUUGACUGCAGCCUUUUGAGAGGCUUUGAGAGAGAGAGAUUUCAGCUAAGCUGCUCCCAGAUUCCUGAUCCAGAAACUAAGUGAAGCAUUUGAAGAGAAGAUAUAGGAUCCUCUCAAGCGUCUGUUAAUGUUGUUUUUAUCACUGGCAUCAAUUUUUAAUGUCUUGAGUUAUUUAACUUAGACAUUUCAAUGAUGAACAUUGUUAUGGAGGCUGAAUUGUGUCCCCUCUAAAAUUCAUAUGUUGAUAUUUUAUCCCCUAAUACUCAUAAUGUAAUGGUAUUUGGAAAUAGGGACUUGAACGAAGUAAUUAAGAUAAAAUGAGAUUAUAUGAGUGGGCAUUUAUCCAAUGUAAGUGGUCUCCUUAUAAGGAGACUAGGAGACAAACACGCACAGAGGAU